ACUGUGUCAACUACAUAGAGAUGAUAUUGAUUCGGUUACCUUGGAUGCAAAUGUAAUUGAAUUGGAGGCUCAAACACAACAUGCAGUUGAAAUUGAUUACAAUGACGAUGACUGUAACCAAGAGAAUGACACAAUAAUAGAGUACAUCAGUGAUCAUGAGGAGAAUGAAGGUAAUAAUAGUACCAAUGAUGAUGAAGUUGAUAGCACAUUUGAUGGUGACGACAUUGGCUUGUGAUGUAACCUCAUAAGAGGGUCCAUAUCUUUGGACUGAUUGCAAACAAAGCAGACGAAAUUGCAGAUCACAUGUGAUGUUGACAAGACUUUAGCUAUAGUGUAUGGGUUGACAAAUCUAUAGUGCAUCGGCAUUGCUUUGUGUGGACAAGAAGUUAUUUAUUUACUACCGCCCUUUU